GAGAUCGGGAUAACACCUGGAAACAGAUGCUAAUACCGGAUAACAACAGAUGAUGCCUAUCAACUGUUUAAAAGAUGGUUCUGCUAUCACUCUUGGAUGGACCUGCGGUGCAUUAGCUAGUUGGUAGGGUAACGGCCUACCAAGGCGAUGAUGCAUAGCCGAGUUGAGAGACUGAUCGGCCACAUUGGGACUGAGAUACGGCCCAGACUCCUACGGGAGGCAGCAGUU
rnacentral:rRNA from 1 species